UAGGCAGAAGCCCUCUGGUUUAGGCGGCUAGCUGUUAAUUAGUAAAUUACGGGAUCGAGGCCCGUCUGUCUAG
rnacentral:tRNA from 1 species